GAUGAACGCUGGCGGCGUGCCUAAUACAUGCAAGUCGAGCGAACGGACGAGAAGCUUGCUUCUCUGAUGUUAGCGGCGGACGGGUGAGUAACACGUGGAUAACCUACCUAUAAGACUGGGAUAACUUCGGGAAACCGGCGCUAAUACCGGAUGAUCUUUUGAACCGCAUGGUUCAAAAGUGAAAGACGGUCUUGCUGUCACUUAUAGCUGGAUCCGCGCUGCAUUAGCUAGUUGUUAGGGUAACGGCUUACCAAGGCAACCAUGCCUAGACGACGGGAGCGGGUGGUCGGCCGCACGAGAACGUGGACGGGGACCAUACGACUACGGGAGGCAGCAGUAGCGAAUCGUCCGCAGUGGUCGAGAGUCUGGCGGAGCAGCGCGGCGUGUGUGAUAAAGGUGUUCGGAUCGUAAAGCUGUGUUAUUGGUGAAGAACAGAUGUGGAAGUAACUGAGCAGAGCGUGACGGUAACUAGUCAAAAAGCCACGGCUAACUACGUG
rnacentral:rRNA from 1 species